CAUCGGACCAAGGCGUCGACUCCUGGCUCCAGUCAGAUCUGGAUUUUGAGGAAAGAACUGAAGGAUUUUCCCUGUAAACUCCAGACUGGGAUUUCCUGGAAGCCUGAAAUCCAAAUUUAAACAAAUCAUUCAAAGGUCCCGGGAAUCGAACCUUUCUAAGGAGACGAUCCAGUUUGUGGAGAGCAGUCUGGAAUUCUGGGUUGGAAAACAUCUUCCCUCACACUGAAGUCCCGGGAGGAGAACAGAGAAGAAAAAGUGACAUCGACAAAUUGGUGACAUCAUCAGCGUCUGACUUCGAUAACUCAUACUUGAAAUGGGCCCUUCCUGUAUGUUGAUGGUGACAUGACUCACUGUUCUCUGUGGAAAUUAAAAAAGGACUUUUACUGUGACCCAGAUGAACAGGAAAGACUGUAACCAGAUCACAUGGAUCUAAGUGGGCGGUCGUCAGGUGAGGUUUCCAGGGGUGGGGUUUAUGAUGACCGGCCUCUACCUCAUUCUGGCAGAAAAGCAGCGCAUGUAC